ensembl:lncRNA novel transcript, antisense to RUNDC2A
AGUCAGGGGAGAGCUGAGAGGCUUCCCUGAGUCACUCCCAUCUCCACAUACAACACCCAGGAAUGACUUAGCACCAAAACACCAAUAAGACUCCUCAGAGGAAAGGAGGGUAGAGUCAAGGGACUAAACUUCAGAAAACAUUGAGGACGAGCUGCCCACACCCACCUCCCUCUCACUUCCAGCAUCCCCAUCAACACCACCCCCUCGAUGGUGAGAGGAAGAAGUUUGGACUGGGAAGAAGAAGGACGAAGUGACGGUCCCCAGAUGGGCUGGGCACGGGACAAGAAGGGAAGGGCUGCAGGACAAGGCAAGAGAGAUCUUAAAUGAUAAUGAUGAGCCAGGAUAAGACAUGGACAAGGAUGGAAUAUGCAAGGAUCAUCGAAAUGUAAAAGCCAGGACCGGAGAGGGAAGCCGAGAGUCAGGAGACCAGGAGUGCCCCGCCACGGGAGAUCAGAGACCCGCAGGUGAGCAGGGGCCACGAGCCGGGAGUCCUGGGGGCCAGGGGUCUGGAAAAGGGAGCGACUGGGAGGGGGUCUGCGAGGGAGCGGGGCGCGAGGACGCAGGGGCCGGAGUGUGCAGCUGGAGCGGCGGGAGCCGGGGC